rnacentral:tRNA from 1 species
GCUAAAGUAAUGCAGUCAGGUGUGUGUUAGACUGGAGAUCUAGAGGUUCCUGGUUCAAUCCCAGGCUUUGGCA